rnacentral:tRNA from 1 species
GGGAGAGUGGUCUAGACUGGUAUGAUUCUUGGUUUGGGACCAAGGGGUCGGGGGUUCAAAUCCCUCCUCUCCCA